UACAGAGGUCCCAAGCGUUGUUCGGAUUCACUGGGCGUAAAGGGUGCGUAGGCGGUCGGGUAAGUCUGAUGUGAAAUCUCACAGCUUAACUGUGAAACUGCAUUGGAUACUAUCCGGCUCGAGGAAUGGAGGGGAGACUGGAAUACUUGGUGUAGCAGUGAAAUGCGUAGAUAUCAAGUGGAACACCAGUGGCGAAGGCGAGUCUCUGGACCGAUACUGACGCUGAGGCGCGAAAGCGUGGGGAGCAAACAGG
rnacentral:rRNA from 1 species